CCCACUACCAUCACAUCCUGCACAGAAACAUGGUUAACAUGGGCGGAAACUCUCCGUACCUUGCUGACAAGUAAUCAAACACUGGGGAGAACAUACAUCAUCACUACACUUGACUCAUAAGAAUACA